GAUGAACGCUGGCGGCGUGCCUAAUACAUGCAAGUCGAGCGAACAGAUGAGGAGCUUGCUCCUCUGACGUUAGCGGCGGACGGGUGAGUAACACGUGGAUAACCUACCUAUAAGACUGGGAUAACUUCGGGAAACCGGAGCUAAUACCGGAUAAUAUAUUGAACCGCAUGGUUCAAUAGUGAAAGACGGUUUUGCUGUCACUUAUAGAUGGAUCCGCGCCGCAUUAGCUAGUUGGUAAGGUAACGGCUUACCAAGGCAACGAUGCGUAGCCGACCUGAGAGGGUGAUCGGCCACACUGGAAUUGAGACACGGUCCAGACUCCUACGGGAGGCAGCAGUAGGGAAUCUUCCGCAAUGGGCGAAAGCUUGACGGAGCAACGCCGCGUGAGUGAUGAAGGUCUUCGGAUCGUAAAACUCUGUUAUUAGGGAAGAACAAAUGUGUAAGUAACUAUGCACGUCUUGACGGUACCUAAUCAGAAAGCCACGGCUAACUACGUG
rnacentral:rRNA from 1 species